GAUGAAUUUGCCGCACAGCAUUUUCAUUUUCCCUCUGUUUAUGAAACCUAGAAAUCCCCAUCCAAAUCUAUUCUCUUGAGUAGAGGCAAUAAAAAUGCGAUAUACGUGGAAGAGAGACGGAGGAAGGAGAGGAGAAAAUGAUUAGGUGGCCGUUCAGGAUGCUGCCAAGUUACGGUUGCAAUGGAGACGGUAUCUCGCAGAGCGCUCAGAGAGCAGAUGUUCUUGUGUGGUAACAUCGCCCUCUGCUGUCCACAUCCGCUCACUACACACACAGGGACGCAAGAUCACAGGUUAAAGACUUUGAAGUAAAGAGGAGCAUCUCAUCUGAACCUGAUGUCUAGCAUGGAUAUUUAACUGCAGUUCUGUGAGUAUCCCAACUUAACCAUCAAGAUGAACUGCAAACUGUAAGUCAUAAGUUUCUCAUUAAUAUUGGGCACAUUGAUGUAUUUUGGCUUCCUGGUGAGUUAACCCGUUACCUGAAGGUUGAUUUGAGUAGUAAGGAUGUUUUAUUGGUUCAUGAGUUACUUAGGUGUUUGGUUUAUAUUGGUUUUAAUGAUUUGUUUAAAAGGUUACAGGCUCCAAGUUAUUGUUGUAAGCUGGAGUAAUGGUUUGGGUUCUGAUGUCCUCAGUCUUCUUUCCAGCUGCUCUGCAUCUUCAUCACAUGAGCGUUGCUUUACUGAUGAGGGUGUGAUCUGAGUGAGCAGAGGUGCAUACUGGGAUACAGAGCUGUCUGAAGUCUACAGGUCUGUAGACAUGCCCCUUCAAGGGAAACCGAGUGUUUGAGAAACUGUUGUGACGUCAGUUACAUGGACUGGAAGGUUCUUUAAGAUGGAGACAGGGAUUCAGAAGGAGAAACACCAGGGGGAGAUGAGGGGACUCCUCAUCUCAACGACUAAAACACAACUUCACUCCGACACAGAGAACCAUGGAACACGUUCAACAGUCCCCUCCAGGCAUCGUGACUCCUCAGGAACAGUUUCAUUUCCCAGAAGGUCUUUUUAAGGGCCAUCCCCAUAUGGAUCCUGCUCCUCAAGAGCCACCCCCUCCACUGGGUUGUCUUCUGAACAGAUGACCUCCUUCCUGUCCUCAGGCUGACUAAAGCUGCACCGUUUGCAUCUGUGAAGGCCCCUCAUUCAGGAAACCACUGGACUACAAAGACAUGAAUUCAGAGACGUUGAAUCAACCUUGGAGACAUUUUGGAGACGACAAGCAUAAUCCAUCACCAAUGUGGGACGCCACUGAAGAAUGUUGUACAUCAUUUACUUCUCUGGAGACAUUGGUUGUUCUGUUCUGGGUGCCCUGGCAGGAGAGCUGGGGUUGGAUGAUGGAAUAUUAUUUGGCAUGAGGUUUUUACCCUUCAUGAUUGUUUGGCCUUUUGUGGCUCAGUGGUGUGUGUGUUUGGGUUUGACAUGAGAUGGAUGAUUAUUGAGCAUCGCUAGGGUUCUACUGUGUGUGUCUCCCACUCACACCUGGCAUGGGGUUCCACGUGCAUUUCCUGGGUUCUGUGUGUGUGUGUCCGGCUUGCUUUGACAGUGAUAAUGUUCAUACGGAAGUCUGUGUGAUUGGCUUGGGAUAUUGGAAUGGUCAAAUAAAUCAUCCCUGAUGGAUGGCCACAUGUUUACUGAAGGGCCUCCAGUAGACAUGAAGAGCCCAGAGCGACGACAUGAGAUGGAUGAUUAUUGAGCAUCGCUAGGGUUCUACUGUGUGUGUCUCCCACUCACACCUGGCAUGGGGUUCCACGUGCAUUUCCUGGGUUCUGUGUGUGUGUGUGUGUGUGUGUGUCCGGCUUGCUUUGACAGUGAUAAUGUUCAUACGGAAGUCUGUGUGAUUGGCUUGGGAUAUUGGAAUGGUCAAAUAAAUCAUCCCUGAUGGAUGGCCACAUAUUUACUUAAGGGCCUCCAGUAGACAUGAAGAGCCCAGAGCGACGCUGCGGAGCGAUAUCCAACACACUGGGCAGGAAGAAGAGUAUCCAACUCAAGUGUAAAAGGAUGCAAGCGACGUGUUCAGAUCAGUGACUUCAAACUAGGACUUCACCAAUCAGGAUGGACGCCUAAAGGAAUUCCAAAAGGAGACUGAUGUUGGAAAGGGAACUAAAUGGAUGUUCAAGAUGACCUUCAGUCUUGUAAUGAGACGUCUCUUCCUACCUGGCUGGAUUGAUGGAGAGCCCUGUGGAUCUUGUCUUUUUCUCAGUUGCACAUCUUCUCAGGCUGAACUGAAUUUGUUUCGGACAGGACUAGCUGAACGAUAGGUUCCCUUAAAUCAGAACCAAUUUGACAUGCGUAAACCAACUACCGCUGUGUUUUCUUACUAGAACGUGUUUCUGGUGCGGAGGCAAGUUGGUAGGGGAGCCGCAAAUCUGGAGGAUGACCAUCACUCGACCAACAAGGAUUACCAGGACUCUGGCUGAGGAGAGCUGAUGGAGGAGCCAAGACUCUGGAGGACGACAUCACUCUGCCAACUUGUUGGAACGCAGGAUUAGUUUGUCCAGUAAAAGGUAUGACAUACUACUGUGGUUGUUUACCAGACAAACUACAGCUUACAUUAGAGCCCAACUACUACUGUGUUUGUUACCUUUCAUUAGAGACAAAUUACUACUGUGUUUGUUACCUUACAUUAGAGCCGAACUACUCCUGUGUUUGCUACCUUACAUUAGAGACAAAUUACGUUUGUAACCAGACCAUGAAUCUGGAGGACUGAUGGAGAAGCCGUACAUCUAGAAGGCAAAUCCUGAGGACAACCAGAACUCUACCAUCAAGGAUUCCUCAACCACCUGAGCUGAACCCGCCCUGAUCCUGACAUCCUGCUGGUCCUGUCUCCUCAGUUCAUCUGCGCCUCGUCCUCCAGAUGACCUGCUGAGCUCAGCGGUCUAAGGCUGAUGGAUCACUGACCUCCAGUGGGAGUGGUCUUCUUGACCCCACGUGUAACCGUGUGCUUCCACACGCCUUUCCCUCACGUCUGUCACUAACCUCACUACUCUCUACUGCUUCCUCUUCUUCUUCCUUCUCUGUGGUUCGAACCUUUACACUGAAGGCGCGUCUUCCUGCCCUCAGAGGGUUCAGCGUUAGGGUUGAGAGUCAGGGUUUAGAGUCAGGGACAGAGCUGGUCAGGGUGGACUGCUUUUACACAAACCUCUUCACUUGCUUUCGGAAUGGUGGUGACAUUUUGAAAAGAUUCAUUCGGGAAAAUGUUUUCCUCUGCUUCCCUUUACAAAAUUGUAUUAAUCUUCUGUCAAGUGUUUUUGUUUAUAUAUUAAAAUCCCACAUUGACUUCUA
ensembl:lncRNA